rnacentral:ncRNA from 2 species
AACUUAUUAAGAGUAUACUGAGGGAAUUGGCCCAAUGAAGUAUCAGCAACCGACAUUUUGAACGGUGCUAAAUCCAACUCAUAUGAGAAAAAUAAGUC